GUUUCAGAUUAAGCUUUUAGAGUGUGCCAUUGAAGUUGGUGAGGGUGGUCUGAGAUGUUUAAGUU
rnacentral:tRNA from 1 species